GAGUUUGAUCAUGGCUCAGAUUGAACGCUGGCGGCAGGCCUAACACAUGCAAGUCGAGCGGAAACGAGUUGUCUGAACCUUCGGGGAACGAUAACGGCGUCGAGCGGCGGACGGGUGAGUAAUGCCUGGGAAAUUGCCCUGAUGUGGGGGAUAACCAUUGGAAACGAUGGCUAAUACCGCAUAAUAGCUUCGGCUCAAAGAGGGGGACCUUCGGGCCUCUCGCGUCAGGAUAUGCCCAGGUGGGAUUAGCUAGUUGGUGAGGUAAGGGCUCACCAAGGCGACGAUCCCUAGCUGGUCUGAGAGGAUGAUCAGCCACACUGGAACUGAGACACGGUCCAGACUCCUACGGGAGGCAGCAGUGGGGAAUAUUGCACAAUGGGCGCAAGCCUGAUGCAGCCAUGCCGCGUGUAUGAAGAAGGCCUUCGGGUUGUAAAGUACUUUCAGCAGUGAGGAAGGUGGUGUACUUAAUACGUGCAUCAUUUGACGUUAGCUGCAGAAGAAGCACCGGCUAACUCCGUGCCAGCAGCCGCGGUAAUACGGAGGGUGCGAGCGUUAAUCGGAAUUACUGGGCGUAAAGCGCAUGCAGGUGGUUUGUUAAGUCAGAUGUGAAAGCCCGGGGCUCAACCUCGGAAUUGCAUUUGAAACUGGCAGACUAGAGUACUGUAGAGGGGGGUAGAAUUUCACGGGUAGCGGUGAUAUGCGUAUAGAUCUGAAAGGAAUACCGGGUGGCGAAGGGCGGCCCCCUGGACAGAUACUGACACUCAGAUGCGAAAGCGUGGGGAACCAAACAGGAUUACAUACCCUGGUAGUCACGCCGUCAAACGAUGUCUACUUGGAGGUUGUGGCUUGAACCGUGGUCUUUCGGAGCUAAACGCAUAGUUGACGCUCUGGGGGCAUACGGUCGCAGCAUAGACGUCAAUUGAUUGACUGGGGCCGCACAGCCGGUGGAGCAUGUGGAUCAUUCGAUGCACACUAAUAUCUUACUACACCUGACUUCAUCAGCUGCCAGAGCGAAUGGUUGCUCUGAGAUCAUGUACAUUUGCGCUCCAGCAUGUCCGUUCUCGUGCUGUGUA
rnacentral:rRNA from 1 species